rnacentral:rRNA from 1 species
CGCGAUUGGAUGAACCUAGGUGGGAUUAGCUAGUUGGUGAGGUAAUGGCUCACCAAGGCGACGAUCCCUAGCUGUUCUGAGAGGAUGAUCAGCCACACUGGGACUGAGACACGGCCCAGACUCCUACGGGAGGCAGCAGCGGGGAAUAUUGCACAAUGGGGGAAACCCUGAUGCAGCCAUGCCGCGUGUGUGAAGAAGGCCUUCGGGUUGUAAAGCACUUUCAGUAGGGAGGAAAGGGUAAGUCUUAAUACGGCUUAUCUGUGACGUUACCUACAGAAGAAGGACCGGCUAACUCCGUGCCAGCAGCCGCGGUAAUACGGAGGGUCCGAGCGUUAAUCGGAAUUACUGGGCGUAAAGCGUGCGCAGGCGGUUUGUUAAGCGAGAUGUGAAAGCCCUGGGCUCAACCUAGGAAUAGCAUUUCGAACUGACAAACUAGAGUCUUGUAGAGGGGGGUAGAAUUCCAGGUGUAGCGGUGAAAUGCGUAGAGAUCUGGAGGAAUACCGGUGGCGAAGGCGGCCCCCUGGACAAAGACUGACGCUCAUGCACGAAAGCGUGGGGAGCAAACAGGAUUAGAUACUCUGGUAGUCCACGCCGUAAACGAUGUCUACUCGGAAUUUGGUGACUU